GAAGCGGCAACAGCUCAAAUUUGAAAUCUGGCGCAAGCCCGAGUUGUAAUUUGUAGAGGAUGCUUCUGGGCAGCGGCCGUUCUAAGUUCCUUGGAACAGGACGUCAUAGAGGGUGAGAAUCCCGUAUGUGACCGGCACGUACCCUUUACGUAGCUCCUUCGACGAGUCGAGUUGUUUGGGAAUGCAGCUCUAAAUGGGAGGUAAAUUCCUUCUAAAGCUAAAUACCGGCCAGAGACCGAUAGCGCACAAGUAGAGUGAUCGAAAGAUGAAAAGCACUUUGGAAAGAGAGUUAAAAAGCACGUGAAAUUGUUGAAAGGGAAGCGCUUACAACCAGACUUCGUGGCGGUGUUCCGCCGGUCUUCUGACCGGUCUACUCGCCGCCGCGAGGCCAGCAUCGUCUGGGGCCGCCGGAUAAGACCUUAGGAAUGUAGCUUGCCUCGGUAAGUGUUAUAGCCUAGGGUGAUGCGGCGUGCCUCGGGCGAGGUCCGCGCUUCGGCAAGGAUGCUGGCGUAAUGGUUGUCAGCGGCCCGUCUUGAAACACGGACCAAGGAGUCUAACAUCUAUGCGAGUGUUCGGGUGUCAAACCCCUACGCGUAAUGAAAGUGAACGGAGGUGGGAAGCGCAAGCUGCACCAUCGACCGAUCCUGAUGUCCUCGGAUGGAUUUGAGUAAGAGCAUAGCUGUUGGGACCCGAAAGAUGGUGAACUAUGCCUGAAUAGGGUGAAGCCAGAGGAAACUCUGGUGGA
rnacentral:rRNA from 6 species